CAGUAGCCGCGGGAAUACGUAGGUGGCAAGCGUUGUCCGGAAUUAUUGGGCGUAAAGGGCUCGCAGGCGGUUUCUUAAGUCUGAUGUGAAAGCCCCCGGCUCAACCGGGGAGGGUCAUUGGAAACUGGGAAACUUGAGUGCAGAAGAGGAGAGUGGAAUUCCACGUGUAGCGGUGAAAUGCGUAGAGAUGUGGAGGAACACCAGUGGCGAAGGCGACUCUCUGGUCUAUAACUGACGCUGAGGAGCGAAAGCGUGGGGAGCGAACAGGAUUAGAUACCCCGGUAGUCCCUGUCUCUUAUAC
rnacentral:rRNA from 1 species